rnacentral:ncRNA from 1 species
CUCUGAAGAUGAGAUAGUCGGGCUUGAUUGGGAACAAUACAUGGUUUAUGUGCUCGUUCUGGGUAAAUAGAGUUUCUAGCAUUUAUGUUAGUUACUUGUUCCCCGGAUAGUUUAGUUACGUAGCCAAUUGUGGAACUUUCUUGCUAAAAUUUUUAAGAAUACUAUUUGGGUUAAACCAAUUAGUUCUUAUCAAUUAUAACGAUUAUCAAUUAACAAUCAAUUCAGAACUGGCACGGACUUGGGGAAUCCGACUGUCUAAUUAAAACAAAGCAUUGUGAUGGCCCUAGCGGGUGUUGACACAAUGUGAUUUCUGCCCAGUGCUCUGAAUGUCAAAGUGAAGAAAUUCAAGUAAGCGCGGGUCAACGGCGGGAGUAACUAUGACUCUCUUAAGGUAGCCAAAUGCCUCGUCAUCUAAUUAGUGACGCGCAUGAAUGGAUUAACGAGAUUCCUACUGUCCCUAUCUACUAUCUAGCGAAACCACAGCCAAGGGAACGGGCUUGGAAUAAUUAGCGGGGAAAGAAGACCCUUUUGAGCUUGACUCUAAUCUGGCAGUGUAAGGAGACAUAAGAGGUGUAGAAUAAGUGGGAGAUAUUAGACCUCGGUUUGGUAUCGUCAAUGAAAUACCACUACUCUUAUUGUUUCCUUACUUACUUGAUUAAAUGGAACGUGUAUCAUUUCCUAGCCAUUAUACGGAUAUAUUUAUUAUAUCUUAUGGUAUUGGGUUUUGAUGCAAGCUUCUUGAUCAAAGUAUCACGAGUUUGUUAUAUAAUCGCAAACAAAUUCUUUAAUAAAACGAUGCAUUUAUGUAUUUUUGAUUUGAAAAUUUGGUAUAACUCCAAUUACUCAGGUAUGAUCCAAUUCAAGGACAUUGCCAGGUAGGGAGUUUGACUGGGGCGGUACAUCUCUCAAAUAAUAACGGAGGUGUCCCAAGGCCAGCUCAGUGCGGACAGAAACCACACAUAGAGCAAAAGGGCAAAUGCUGACUUGAUCUCGGUGUUCAGUACACACAGGGACAGCAAAAGCUCGGCCUAUCGAUCCUUUUGGUUUAAAGAGUUUUUAACAAGAGGUGUCAGAAAAGUUACCAUAGGGAUAACUGGCUUGUGGCGGCCAAGCGUUCAUAGCGACGUCGCUUUUUGAUCCUUCGAUGUCGGCUCUUCCUAUCAUUGUGAAGCAAAAUUCACCAAGCGUUGGAUUGUUCACCCAUGCAAGGGAACGUGAGCUGGGUUUAGACCGUCGUGAGACAGGUUAGUUUUACCCUACUAAUGACAAAACGUUGUUGCGACAGCAUUCCUGCGUAGUACGAGAGGAACCGCAGGUACGGACCAAUGGCACAAUACUUGUUCGAGCGAACAGUGGUAUGACGCUACGUCCGUUGGAUUAUGCCUGAACGCCUCUAAGGUCGUAUCCGUGCUGGACUGCAAUGAUAAAUAAGGGGCAAUUUGCAUUGUAUGGCUUCUAAACCAUUU